AGAGUUUGAUCAUGGCUCAGAUUAACGCUGGCGGCAUGCCUAACACAUGCAAGUCGAGCGAGAAACCGCCCUUCGGGGUGGGAGUACAGCGGCGCACGGGUGAGUAGCGCGUGGGUAAUCUACCUCUAUCUGGGGGAUAACACACCGAAAAGGUGUGCUAAUACCGCAUAAACCGACAAACCUGCGGGGAAGUCGGGAAAGAUGGCCUCUUAUUAAAGCUGUCGGAUGAAGAUGAGCCCGCGUCCCAUUAGCUUGUUGGUAGGGUAACGGCCUACCAAGGCGACGAUGGGUAGCUGGUCUGAGAGGACGACCAGCCACACUGGAACUGGUACACGGUCCAGACUCCUACGGGAGGCAGCAGUGAGGAAUAUUGCGCAAUGGGGGAAACCCUGACGCAGCGAUGCCGCGUGGGUGAAGAAGGCUUUCGGGUCGUAAAGCCCUGUCAGGUGGGAAGAACAGUCUCUUAUUGAAUAGAUAGGAGGCCUGACGGUACCACCGAAGGAAGCACCGGCUAACUCCGUGCCAGCAGCCGCGGUAAGACGGAGGGUGCAAGCGUUAUUCAGAAUCAUUGGGCGUAAAGAGUGUGUAGGCGGCCGGUUAAGUCAGGUGUGAAAGCCCAGGGCUCAACCCUGGAAGUGCACUUGAAACUGGUCGGCUUGAGUUCGGGAGAGGGUAGCGGAAUUCCUGGUGUAGAGGUGAAAUUCGUAGAUAUCAGGAGGAACACCGGUGGCGAAGGCGGCUACCUGGACCGAAACUGACGCUGAGACACGAAAGCGUGGGGAGCAAACAGGAUUAGAUACCCUAGUAGUCC
rnacentral:rRNA from 1 species